rnacentral:rRNA from 1 species
ACUCCUACGGGAGGCAGCAGUGGGGAAUAUUGGACAAUGGGCGCAAGCCUGAUCCAGCCAUGCCGCGUGUGUGAAGAAGGCCUUCGGGUUGUAAAGCACUUUCAGCGAGGAGGAAGGUUAAGUGUUAAUAGCACUUAGCUGUGACGUUACUCGCAGAAGAAGCACCGGCUAACUCCGUGCCAGCAGCCGCGGUAAUACGGAGGGUGCGAGCGUUAAUCGGAAUUACGUGGGCGUAAAGCGCAUGCAGGCGGCCUGUUAAGUCAGAUGUGAAAGCCCGGGGCUUAACCUCGGAAUUGCAUUUGAAACUGGCAGGCUAGAGUCUUGUAGAGGGGGGUAGAA